rnacentral:siRNA from 1 species
GAAAAAGUCAGAAAGGUGUCCA